rnacentral:rRNA from 1 species
CAGCCGCCACGGGAAUACGAAGGGUGCAAGCGUUAAUCGGAAUUACUGGGCGUAAAGCGCGCGUAGGUGGUUUGGUAAGAUGGAUGUGAAAUCCCCGGGCUCAACCUGGGAACUGCAUCCAUAACUGCCUGACUAGAGUACGGUAGAGGGUGGUGGAAUUUCCUGUGUAGCGGUGAAAUGCGUAGAUAUAGGAAGGAACACCAGUGGCGAAGGCGACCACCUGGACUGAUACUGACACUGAGGUGCGAAAGCGUGGGGAGCAAACAGGAUUAGAGACCCCUGUAGUCCCUGUCUCUUAUAC